GCGCAGCAGUCGCGAACCUCCACAAUGCGGGAACCGUGAUGGGGGAAUCCGAGUGCCCGUUGGCUAAUGCUGGCGGGCUUUUCUCAAGCGUAAAAGGCUUGAGGAAUAAGGACUGGGUAAGACCGGUGCCAGCCGCCGCGGUAACACCGGCGGUCCAACUGGUGAUCAGCAUUAUUGGGUCUAAAGCGUCCGUAGCCGGAUGGUUGGAUUUCGAGUGAAAUUCCCCAGCUUAACUGGGGGGCUGCUUGAAACACCCGCCAUCUAGGGACCGGGAGAGGUAGGGGGUAGCCCCGGGUAGAAGUAAAAUUCUAUAAUCCGGGGAGGACCACCGGU
rnacentral:rRNA from 1 species